AGGUAUUGAGCACAUCUUGGGACUUUGUGCAUCUUCUAGACCAUAUGGUAUUCCUGGGUUUCAGAUCACGCACAAAGAAUAAUUAUUCUGCUCACAAAGCAGCACUGGCUUGGAGACAAAGCUAA